AAUGCCUCCCUGUUGCAGACCCUGCUGUGUGUUAGAGCUGUGGGGAGAGUGGAAAUGGACUGGGAUUACUGCCUUGAAUGUAGAAUGUGUCACUUGACUCCACACCAGCGAACCCAGGUGGUCAGAAGUAAAACCGCUUAGCAGUGGACACAAGGGAAAAGUCUUCUCAUGAAGUGGCUGAUUUGACAUCGAAGAGAGAUUUAUGACUGAAGCAAAACAGAGCCUGCUGACACUCCUGGCUGCUUUAGGGCUGCCUACGUAGGUUGCCUGCCCAGGGCAACCUCCUUCCUCUUAGAACUGGGGGUUCUUUCACUUACCACCACCUCCAGGGCCACAAGAGGGUGCUUUCCUCCUUUCAGGUUCUGCCUGUUAGAAAUGUAGCUCUUCAGACUUCUUAGAGGAAUUCAGUCAUGCAGCUUGAAGAAUGAUCUUAAGGGUGGUACUUUACACUCGACCUUCAAUGAUUUCAGAGACUUGGAGAAAGGGGAACAGGUCCUAUAUUUGAACCACGAUGUCAUGCAAUUAUGUACAGCACAGGCACAUGCAUGGCUGGGAAGUGUCUAUGGGUUGAUUCCUUUGUGAAUUAUAUGGAGCUGACACGGCCGAAACCCACAAUGACCCAGACGAGGACAGAAGCUUGCUUGUCCUGAAAGAGUGGCUUCCGCCCGUAUGUCUUGACAUCACAGGUACUCUGUUCCUACUCUGCUUCAUCCACCCAGCCUCAGGACCACCUGUUACCUUCCUGGACCACUGACUUUCUCCUGAAAGAGAGGACACAAGUGACCCCUGAUCUUUCUUGUUCUCCAUACUCCACAUAUUGUCACCCCCAAACUUGAUCCAAGCUGAGUGCUUGGACACUGCUUGGAAUGAAUGGCCCCUAACCAGAAGGGAGAUUUAGAAACAAAUACAACUCUCCAGUGGAAGUUGAGGAAUGGCAUUGUAUUUGGGGCCCACCUACCUUUUUGUCUCCUCCAUCAUUGUGAUCCAGAAGUCUGCUUCUGCCAGCCCUGCUUCAGCCUCCUUCACAAUUGCAAGGAAAACAGUCUAUGGAGGGGAAAAAACAUCCCAGCUAUGGGACAUAGCCUGAAGAUAGGAAUAGAAGUGAAACCA